rnacentral:sRNA from 1 species
CAGGAUUGGCUUAGAGUUUGCAGGGAACUUGGAGGGCCCCUUACUAACUCAGGCCUGGCGGCUGCCAUUCUCCAGUUCCAGCGACGCCCCGUUAAAGGGACGGAUAAAAGAUCAUGCUUUCAAUGUGGGAAAACAGGCC